AUGCAGGGAGAGGGCAAUAAGAGAGCACAGAGAGGAGCAGAGGAGAAGCAGACUGUGAAGGCCCGGCUCCUGUCUUCACAGAUGCUCCUGGUGGAUGCUCUUUAUCACUUGAGCCCUCUGCUAGACUGUGUUAUAUCUGCAGGUCUGCUCUCUAGAGAAAACUGUUAUGAAAUUGAAGCUGAACGAACGCCACCCAACAAAGUCCGAAAGCUUCUAGAGAUUAUUGACGCUCAGAUGGAUGAAAGUGGAGCCUCUAGUUUCAUGGAGUGUCUGAGAAAAUGCAAGAAACAUUACCCGCGUCUACGAACCUGGUUAACCUCAGAGGAAGAUCACUUCCAACCAACAGGCAUUACGCAAGGUCCAACAGGUAAUACCGUCUCAGCGUUUUCAUGUUUACUUAAUGUAAUUGUCUGCCAGCCCUCACC
rnacentral:lncRNA from 1 species